rnacentral:lncRNA from 15 species
AGACUCCUACGUCAGAAUGCUGUUCAUCGACUUCAGCUCAGCAUUCAACACAAUCAUCCCCCAGCAGCUCAUCCGCAAACUGGACCAGCUGGGGCUCAACACCUCCCUGUGCAACUGGCUGUUGGACUUCCUGAUGGGGAGACCACAGGCAGUUUGGUCGGCAGCAACACCUCCAGCACCAUCACACUGAACACAGGGUCCCCCCAAGGAUGUGUGCUGAGCCCCCUCCUCUUCACUCUGCUGACCCAUGACUGCACACCAUCAUUCAGCUCCAACCUCUUCAUUAAGUUUGCGGACGACACAACUGUUGUGGGUCCCAUCAACAACGGCGAUGAGACAACCUACAGGAGUGAGGUGAGCAGGCUGGCUACGUGGUGCAAGGACAACAAUCUUCACCUGAAUGUGGAGAAGACGAAGGACAUUGUUGUGGACUUCAGGAGAGUGCACAGCCAGCAUGCUCCACUAACCAUUGACGGAGCUGCAGUGAAGACGGUGAGCAGCACCAAGUUCCUGGGUGUGUACAUCUCUGAAAACCUGUCCUGGAGCCACAACACUGCAUCACUGGCCAAAAAAGCCCAACAGUGCCUGUACUUUCUCCACAAACUGAGAAGAGCAGGAGCCCCGCCCCCCAUCAUGCACACCUUCUACAGAGGCACCAUCGAGAGCAUCCUGACAAGCUGCAUCACCGUGUGGUACGGCGCCUGCACCUUGUCCUGCCGCAAGACUUUGCAGCGCAUAGUGAGAGCAGCUGAAAGGAUCAUUGGUGUCUCCCCUCCCCCCUUCUGGACAUUUAUAACACCUGCCUCACCAGCAAAGCACCCACCCACCCAUCUCACAGCCUCUUCAGCCUGCUGCCAUCAGGGAGGAGACUGCGCAGUCUCCGGGCAAAAACCCUCCCUCCCUGCUCUACCGUCACUCCCCCCUCUGCCUCCUGCCACAGACUACAGUAAGAAGCAAGCAACUCUCUGCUUCCUGGUUCAUGUGGACUUGUGGACGAAAAAUAGUAAAAAAAAAAAACAACAAAAACUAUCUUUGACAGUUAAAAGUAUGAUUCCUGGAAACUGA